UGAGGGUCAGUCAGCAUGCCACAACUCAAUCGCUCCUCGCCCCAAACUCGUCCCCACAUCAGGAGAAACCGCCAUGAACCUCGUUAGCAUGCUCGUGCUGGUGAUGGCUGCCCUGCUGGCCCCGGUGAGCAGCCUGCCUGAACCUGACGUGCUUCUGGACAGGGCGACGGACCUACAGGACCAAGGGUGGGUGCAGCCACCACGCUUCCACUACCGCGGCUUCCAACGACCAAACCCCAGAACCAACUGGCUGUAAGACCCAACCCCACAACCAACUGGCUGUAAGACCCAACCCCAGAACCAACUGGCUGUAAGACCCAACCCCAGAACCAACUGGCUGUAAGACCCAACCCCACAACCAACUGGCUGUAAGACCCAACCCCACAACCAACUGGCUGUAAGACCCAACCCCACAACCAACUGGCUGUAAGACGCUGCUCCAGACUCCAUAUCCUCCACCCUAGCUGGCCCUCUGUGUCUCACUCUAAAUUUAUUUUUCCCCUAACUAAGAAUAAGACAACUCAUAACUCAUCUGGUGAAAUAUAAAUUCCCGUUUGGCCACCUCCUUUUAGUUGUUUCUUAAGUCAGCCACUUAGAUGGUUCUCAUAAACUCAGUUAAGGGGAAAAUUAUGAGAUGAAUAUACUGUAUAAGCACCAGAGGCCAAGACUGUACUUGUAUUCUACAGUAUUGAAAACGUACACAUUAAACCACAGAGAGAUUGUUAACAAAAGGCACAAAGUAGAUAUGAAGAUUUAUAAGUUUAUAACCAUACCAAGAUAAUAAUUAUAGUGUGUGGAAGGACAUACAACACUAGGAUGUUGAUGGCGAGACAACUACCACACAGUUCACUCGUCAACACAAUGCAGCCUUGUUGACGCUGACUUGUUCUAAUCUCACAUCUUCCUCGGUAAUCUCACUCUCUUACAUUUUGUAAAGUGUGGGACAAUAAAGAAAAAUAAACAUAA